GGUGAGGGCGGUGUUUU
rnacentral:miRNA from 1 species